CCUACGGGGGGCUGCAGUGGGGAAUAUUGCACAAUGGGCGCAAGCCUGAUGCAGCCAUGCCGCGUGUGUGAAGAAGGCCUUCGGGUCGUAAAGCACUUUCAGCGGGGAGGAAGGCGGUGAGGUUAAUAACCUCAUCGAUUGACGUUACCCGCAGAAGAAGCACCGGCUAACUCCGUGCCAGCAGCCGCGGUAAUACGGAGGGUGCAAGCGUUAAUCGGAAUUACUGGGCGUAAAGCGCACGCAGGCGGUCUGUCAAGUCGGAUGUGAAAUCCCCGGGCUCAACCUGGGAACUGCAUUCGAAACUGGCAGGCUAGAGUCUUGUAGAGGGGGGUAGAAUUCCAGGUGUAGCGGUGAAAUGCGUAGAGAUCUGGAGGAAUACCGGUGGCGAAGGCGGCCCCCUGGACAAAGACUGACGCUCAGGUGCGAAAGCGUGGGGAGCAAACAGGAUUAGAUACCCGGGUAGUC
rnacentral:rRNA from 1 species